rnacentral:lncRNA from 1 species
CAAUGACGAGCAAAGGAGAGCAAAACUGGCAGGGUUCAGAAAGGAUUGCUACGAUGAAAUCUGACUUCUGGAGUAAGAGUAUAUCAAUAAAAUAACAUGCAGUUUGGAGGCUGAAAGUAUUUACAAAAUCAGUUAAAAAGGCAGGUUUUCUGUUUCCUAGCUGUUUCUAAGAGGGCACACCAACACAGUGCUUCAUACAAAAGCUUAAAUAAUUUUUAUUAACACUUUCACAAAACAUUUUAAAAUACAUUUUCA